rnacentral:rRNA from 1 species
GACGAACGCUGGCGGCGUGCUUAACACAUGCAGGUCGAACGAUGAAGAAGAGAAACGCGAACUUCGGUUCAAAUUUCACUUCGGAUUAGUGGCAGACGGGUGAGUAACGCGUGAGCAACCUACCUCUUACAAAGGGAUAGCCUCGGGAAACCGUGAUUAAUACCAUAUGACACAUUCAUAAGGCAUCUUAAGAAUGUUAAAGCUACGGCGGUAAGAGAUGGGCUCGCGUCCCAUUAGCUAGUUGGUGAGGUAACGGCCCACCAAGGCGACGAUGGGUAACCGGCCUGAGAGGGUGAACGGUCACAUUGGAACUGAGACACGGUCCAAACUCCUACGGGAGGCAGCAGUGGGGAAUAUUGCACAAUGGAGGGAACUCUGAUGCAGCGACGCCGCGUGAGCGAUGAAGGAAUUCGUUUCGUAAAGCUCUGUUCUAUGGGAAGAAAAGGACUGUACCAUAGGAGAAAGCCCCGGCUAAAUACGUG